UUCUGUAACACGAAACAAGUGAGACGACAUGACAGGUUCUUUCACAGAGGUGUGAACACAAUGAAGAGUGAAAACAAAUCCUUUCUACUAUUAGUAACACUGAGGAUUUCUUUGCGUCUGUUGAUUAGCUCUGCAUGAAAAAACCAGAGGACUAAUCGCCAGGGAACAAACAGGAACAAGAGCAAACAGUGGCGAAGAUGAGAGGGCUGGUGGUCACAGUUUACACACAUCAAUGUAUGGUAUCAAAGAGUGGCGGGGCGCCCCAAGGCUUCUGGGAAGUCUCCUAACGGCACAUUCUCAUCUGGAAAGGCUUACGCACAAAUCAGUUGUUAAAGAGGAAGAUGAUCCAAUUGAUGAGGUAUGCUGUGAUAAAAACUGGAGUUUUUUUUUCCCCUCUCUGUGUUGUGUUUGGCCUAAAUUCAGCUUGAUGCAGUGGAUUUGUUCUGUGUGCAGGGGGGAUUACACAGUAAAGCUGGCUUGCUUGCUUGCUGCUGGGUGGGCACAGAUACCUUGGUCCCUAAUCCGUGCUAACAUCAAGACCUACCCAAGGGCUCUCUUUGUUCCACUUAAAAAGAUCACCUUGCAGGGUCUAGCUAGGCUCAGCAAC